rnacentral:ncRNA from 1 species
CUGACAUGUGUGCGAAUCAACGGGCUAGAAAACCUGUAAGGCACAAGGAAGCUGAUUGGCAGGAUCCCUCGUGGGUGCACCGCCAACCGACCUUAAUCUUCUGAGAAGGGUUCGAGUGAUAGCAUGCCUGUCGGGACCUGAAAUAUGGUGAACUAUGCUGAGUGGUGUGGGCCAAUCGUCGGCCCAAGUGGCUGUGGUAAUGAUUUUCUGGCUGG